UGUCCUCGAGCAUAAUCAACAGUUGGAACUCCAGCAUACAUAGCCCCCGAGGUUCUUUCCAGAAAAGAGUAUGAUGGAAAGGUAGCAGACGUUUGGUCCUGUGGUGUCACGCUGUACGUGAUGCUCGUGGGAUCAUAUCCAUUUGAAGAUCCUGAGGAUCCAAGGAACUUCCGGAAAACGAUCAGCAGAAUUCUUGGCGUGUAAUACUCCAUCCCGGAUUAUGUGAGAGUGUCUUCAGACUGCAGACGCCUUCUGUCUCAGAUAUUCGUUGCCGAUCCUUCAAAGGUACUUCCUCUCUCAAUU